ACCCCUCCAUAGAGCCCCCUAUGGGUCCCUAUGGGUCCCUAUGGGUCCCUAUGGGUCUCCAUGGGUCCCUAUGGGUCUCUAUGGGUCCUAUGGGGUCCCUAUGGGUCCCUAUGGGUCCCUAUGGGUCUCUGUGGGUCUCUAUGGGGUCUCUAUGGGGUCUCUAUGGGUCUCCAUGGGUCUCUAUGGGCUCUUUGGGGUCCCUAUGGGUCCCUAUGGGUCUCUAUGGGGUCCCUAUGGGUCCCUAUGGGUCUCUAUGGGCUCUUUGGGGUCCCUAUGGGUCCCUAUGGGUCUCUAUGGGUCUCAGUGGGUCCCUAUGGGUCUCUAUAGGGUCUCUGGGGGUCUCUAUGGGUCCUUUUGGGUCCCUAUGGGUCUCUGUGGUUCUCUAUGGGGUCCCUAUGGGUCCCUAUGGGGUUUUUUUGGGGUCCCUAUGGGGUCUUUAUAGGGUCCCUAUGGGUCCCUAUGAGUCUCUAUGGGGCCCUAUGGGGUUUUUUGGGGGUCCCUAUGGGGUCCCUAUGGGUCUCUAUGGGUCUCUAUGGGACCUUAUGGGGUCCCUAUGGGGUCCCUAUGGGUCUCUAUGGGUCUUUAUGGGGUCUCUGUGGGGUCUCUAUGGGUCUCCAUGAGUCCCUAUGGGUCCCUAUGGGGUUUUUUGGGGGUCUCUAUGGGGUCUUUAUGGGGUCCCUGUGGGUCUCUAUGAGUCUCUAUGGGUCCCUAUGGGUUUUCUGGGGUUCCCUUUGGGGUCUCUAUGGGUCCCUGUUUGUCUCUAUGGGUCCCAAUGGGUCCCAAUGGGUUCUUAUGGGUCCCUAUGGGUUUUUUUUGGGUUCCCUAUGGGCCUCUAUGGGGUCCCUAUGGGUCUCUAUGGGUCCCUAUGGGGUUUUUUGGGGUCCCUAUGGGUCUCUAUGGGGUCUUUAUGGGGUCCCUAUGGGUCCCUAUGGGUUUUUAUGGGGUUCCCUGUGGGGUCUUUAUGGGGUCCCUAUGGGUCUCUAUGGGUCCCUGUUUGUCUCUAUGGGUCCCUAUGGGUUUUUUUGGGGUCCCUAUGGGGUCUCUAUGGGUCCCUAUGGGUCUUUAUGGGGUCUUAAUGGCCCCCCCGCCGCCCCGUUUCCCAUUGGCCCGCUCUCACUCCACGUGACCGCAGCCACAGCCUCGCUGCAGACGUCACUUCCGGCCGGACACGUGACGCUUUUGGGGUCGCUGCAACUUCCGGCUUCCGCCCCGCAGCUCAGACAGCGCAGCCCAGCGGCGCCUGCGGGAAGCGCAGCCGUGGGGCUGACCCACAUCUAUGGGGCUGACCCACAUCUAUGGGGCUGACCCACAUCUAUGGGCCCACAGCUAUGGGGCUGACCCACAUCUAUGGGGCCGACCCACAUCUAUGGGGCGGGACCCACAUCUAUGGGGCUGACCCACAUCUAUGGGGCUGACCCACAGCUAUGGGGCUGACCCACAUCUAUGGGCCCACAGCUAUGGGGCUGACCCACAUCUAUGGGGCUGACCCACAUCUAUGGGCCCACAUCUAUGGGGCUGACCCACAUCUAUGGGGCGGGACCCACAUCUAUGGGCCCACAUCUAUGGGGCCGACCCACAUCUAUGGGGCUGACCCACAUCUAUGGGGCCGACCCACAUCUAUGGGGCUGACCCACAUCUAUGGGGCCGACCCACACCUAUGGGGCCGACCCACAUCUAUGGGGCGGGACCCACAUCUAUGGGUCCGACCCACAUCUAUGGGGCCGACCCACAUCUAUGGGUCCGACCCACAUCUAUGGGGCCAACCCACAUCUAUGGGGCUGACCCACAUCUAUGGGCCCGACCCACAUCUAUGGGGCUGACCCACAUCUAUAGGGCAGACCCACAUCUAUGGGGCAGGAUCCCCAUCUGUGGGCCCACAUCUAUGGGGCCGACCCACAUCUAUGGGGCAGGACCCCAAUCCAUGGGGCCAACCCCCAUCUAUGGGGCACGACCCCAAUCUAUGGGGCCAACCCCCAUCUAUGUUGCAGGACCCCAAUCUAUGGGGCCGCCCCCCAUCUGUGGGUCUCCCCACCCCUCUGGGUGUCGCCGCCCCACCCGCAGGGCCGCGUCCCAAACGUGUCCCGUCCUGUCCCGCCCCACAGCGCCCCAUAGCGGCCGUCCGCUGCCCCACACAUCGCCCCAUAGCGCCCCGCAGACCCACAGCGGCCUCUUCUGCCCCAUAGAUCGCCCCAUAGCCCCACGCCACCCCCUGCCCCAUAGCGCCCCAUAGCACAGAGACCCCCUGCCCCAUAGCGCCCCUCUGCCCCAUAGCGCCCCAUAGCACAGAGACCCCCUGCCCCAUAGC
rnacentral:lncRNA from 1 species